rfam:Aspergillus terreus NIH2624 scaffold_6 genomic scaffold, whole genome shotgun sequence.
GCCCGGUUAGCUCAAUGGCAGAGCGUGAGGCUUUUAGAAGGAUAAUAAUCCUACUAGAGGUACCUCAAGGCUGUGGGUUCGACCCCCACAUCGGGCG